UUCCAAGAUAGUCAAGUGGGCAUGGUAGAUUAUUUUCGAGUUUCAUCAUAGCUACAUAAGAUGGCUCAAUGUUGCAGUAAUCUCAGAGCUAAAAUAAAACAUAGCUCAAGUAUCCAUAUGCCAGCAUGGCGGGGUAGGCGAAGCGGGUGAGUGCCUCACCCUAGAUGGCUAAAGUCCAGUAGCCGAAAGCAUCACUAGUUUAUGCUCUGACCCAAGUAGCAUGGGACAUGAGAUCCCAUGUGAAUGAGAAAGGACCAUCUUGCAAGGCUAAAUAAUCUUGGGUGACCGAUAGCGAAGUAGUACUGUGAGGGAAAUUAUGGCGGAAAGAACCCUAGUGGGUAGUGAAAUAGAACGUGAAA
rnacentral:ncRNA from 1 species